AUUCCAGGAUGGGAUAUUCUAGGAUGUAGUCUUGGAAGCGCUCCCAUGCUUCUGGAACGGAUUCAUCAUGUUGUUGCUGACAACUUGUAAUUUUCCCACGGAGAGC
rnacentral:snoRNA from 1 species